rnacentral:lncRNA from 1 species
GCACCCAGGGCAUGUGGAAGUUCCAGGGCUGGGGACCGAACCCAUGCCACAGCAGCAACCCAAGCCACGGCAGUGACAAUGCCAGAUCCUUAACCCAGUAUUUUUUGCCUUUUGUCUUUUUAGGUCCAAAACCACAGCAUAUGGAGGGUCCCAGGCUAGGGGUUGAAUUGGAGCUGUAGCCACUGGCCUACACCACAGCCACAGGAAUGCCAGAUCCGAGCCACGCCUGCCCCCUACACCACAGCUCACGGCAAUGCUGGAUCCUUAACCCACUGAUGGAGGCCAGAGAUCAAACCUGAAACCUCAUGGUUACUAGUAGGAUUCGUUUCCCCUGGGCCACACCAGGAACUCCAGCUCAUUCUUAAUCAGAUUCUCUUCCGAAAAGCAAGCCUUGUUCCCUUCUAUUUCUAGGACACAUGCUUUUCCUAAAUUUGAAAAAUGCAGCCACAGGAGUUCCCAUCGUGGCACAGCAGAGGCGAAUCCGACUAGGAACCAUGAGGUUGCGGGUUCGAUCCCUGGCCUCGAUCACUGGGUUCAGGAUCUGGCGUUGCUGUGAGCUGUGGUGUAGGUUGCAGACACGGCUCGGAAUCCAAGUUUCUGUGGCUGUGGUGUAGGCCGGCAGCUGUAGCUCUGAUUUGACCCGUAGACUGGGAACCUCCAUGUGCCGCAGGUGCAGCCCUAACAAGCAAAAAAUAAAAAUAAAAAAAUCUUCCAUCACGGUCUACCCCGAGAGACUGGAUAUAGUUCCCUGUGCUAUACAGUAGGACCACAUUGCUCAUCCAUUCUAAAUGCAGAUUUGAGCAAUGUCCCAGCUCAAAAAUUCCAGCUCCUUUUCCCCUCCCAUCGCUGAGCUGACACAGAUCUUGAGGGGCCUCUACUUCUUCCUGUCUCCAGAUGAAACCACUUAAACCACCAAGACAAAUGGAACUUGUUCCCAUUUCUAAAGACCUUCGGGGAUGGCCGUUUCCCUUGGCUCCUGUGAGUCACUCGUCCUCGCAUCUCGCAUCCCAUCUGGAAUGUUUUCCUUAGUUGAGUCCUUCCUCUACAGUUUCCAUUCAUUCGCCUCUGGUUCUGCUUCUAAGUGAAUCACUGUGUUCUGAGCAAUCACUCUUACAAGAUUUUUAUUCCUCUUUCAGCAUGUUCACUGCAGGCCUUUACGGGAGGUGACUAUGAAAAACCACAAAGACAUCGAGGAAGCCAACUAAGGCAAGGGUGCUGCAGGACCCAGAAAAUUCAACCCUGGGGUUCUACUCGGAGUUCACAGUGCAGGAGACUGGCACACCUGUGACCAGAUCAAAAAGCCAGGAGACAGCGGCCACCGUUACCUCCCUCAAAUCAAGCACCCCCUCCUACAGGAAGCCUUCCUUGCCCAGCUCCCAUUCUGGCUAGCAAAGCCUCUCCUUCUUCGGCACCGCAUCUCAACUGGAGUUGUAGGCUGAAUGUUUGCCUCCCAGGCAGGGGUCAUGACUU